rnacentral:rRNA from 1 species
UUCGCAAUGCCCGAAAGGGUGACGAAGCGACGCUGCGUGCGGGAAGAAGGCCUUCGGGUUGUAAACCGCUGUCGGGAGUUAGGAAGUGCAAGGAUGUUAAUAGCGUUCUUGCUUGACUAAGGCUCCGGAGGAAGCCACGGCUAACUCUGUGCCAGCAGCCGCGGUAAUACAGAGGCGGCAAGCGUUGUUCGGAAUUAUUGGGCGUAAAGAGCACGUAGGCGGCUAUACAAGUCGGUUGUGAAAGCCUUCCGCUCAACGGGAGAACAGCAUCCGAUACUGUGUGGCUUGAGUGUGGGAGGGGAGAGCGGAACUUCUGGUGGAGUGGUGAAAUGCGUAGAUAUCAGAAGGAACGCCGGCGGCGAAAGCGGCUCUCUGGCCCAUAACUGACGCUGAGUGUGCGAAAGCUAGGGGAGCAAGCGGGAUUAGAUACCCCGGUAGUCCUAGCCGUAAAC